CGUUUUGUACUCCGGCCCGAUCGAGCGUGAGGAAGAAGGGGAGGAACGGCCGUAGGGCUGCGGCGAGGAAAGCGAGAGGGCAUGGCGUCGGCGAUCCGCUCCGCCGCCGUCUUCCGUUCCUCCUCCGCUCCAGCACGGGGUCUCCUGCGCGCGCGCUUGAGGAGGAGCGGCGCUGCCUGGCCCGGCCCCUCUCCGGAAGCCCUUCUCGCCUCUUCAGCUCAGAUUCCGGCGGCCGCGCGUCGUCCUACAAGCAUCCCUGCAAGUUAACCUGGGCCGCAAAAAGCAUAUGGAGAGUCAGCUUGCGUACCUGAGAAGGAUGCUCGUGACUGGAGAGAGAUGAGGGAAAUACUUGAAGCAUCGGCGCAGCGCAAUGAAAAGUGCAAGCGACAGGACAAGGUCGUAAACUGUGCUGCCGCCGCUAUGUUCCUUGCGUUGUUCGCAGGCCACGUGUUCAAAUAGGUUGUGAUUGCCUUGGCCCAUGCCUUGUUUGCCUUCUCCCUGCACUCUGCGCUUUAUGCAUUUGAACUAUGUGUCUCGACAGUUAGAGGCAAGGCACUUCUAUAUGGUUAAACUUUUGGGUCCUCUCUUGGUGUUGCGUGAAGUAUUUUGUUAGCACAGCUCACAUCAGAAUUUCACCCACUCAUGCAUGAGAAUGCCGAUUCUUAUGAGUAUGAAGUAUGACUGUUUCGUAUA